rnacentral:tRNA from 1 species
GGGCGAUUAGCUCAGUUGGAAGAGCGUCUCGUUUACACCGAGAAGGCCGGCGGUUCGAGCCCGUCAUCGCCCACCA